AGUCGAGGGGUAUAUGUCUUCGGAUAUAGAGACCGGCGCACGGGUGCGUAACGCGUAUGCAACCUACCUUUCACAGGGGGAUAGCCCAGAGAAAUUUGGAUUAAUACCCCAUGGUAUAUAGAGAUGGCAUCAUUUUUAUAUUAAAGUCACAACGGUGAAAGAUGGGCAUGCGUCCCAUUAGCUAGAUGGCAAGGUAGCGGCUUACCAUGGCUACGAUGGGUAGGGGUCCUGAGAGGGAGAUCCCCCACACUGGUACUGAGACACGGACCAGACUCCUACGGGAGGCAGCAGUGAGGAAUAUUGGACAAUGGGCGCAAGCCUGAUCCAGCCAUGCCGCGUGCAGGAUGACGGUCCUAUGGAUUGUAAACUGCUUUUAUACGGGAAGAAACCCCGCCUCGUGAGGCGGAUUGACGGUACCGUAAGAAUAAGGAUCGGCUAACUCCGUGCCAGCAGCCGCGGUAAUACGGAGGAUCCAAGCGUUAUCCGGAAUCAUUGGGUUUAAAGGGUCCGUAGGCGGCCUUAUAAGUCAGUGGUGAAAUCUCCCGGCUCAACCGGGAAAUUGCCAUUGAUACUGUAGGGCUUGAAUUAUUAGGAAGUAACUAGAAUAUGUAGUGUAGCGGUGAAAUGCUUAGAGAUUACAUGGAAUACCAAUUGCGAAGGCAGGUUACUACUAAUGGAUUGACGCUGAUGGACGAAAGCGUGGGU
rnacentral:rRNA from 1 species